GUCCGCGUCGCUUAGUGGUUAUGGCGUCGCAUUGUGGUCGGUUGACUUGUUGGAUUCGUAAUCCUCUUGUAUCGCGGAGACCUGCGGAGACGGGUGUUCGAUUCACCCCGCGGACA